GACGAACGCUGGCGGCGCGCCUAACACAUGCAAGUCGAACGAGCGAGAGAGAGCUUGCUUUCUCAAGCGAGUGGCGAACGGGUGAGUAACGCGUGAGGAACCUGCCCCAAAGAGGGGGACAACAGUUGGAAACGACUGCUAAUACCGCAUAAGCCCACAGGUCGGCAUCGACCAGAGGGAAAAGGAGCAGUCCGCCUUGGGAUGGCCGCGCGUCCGAUUAGCUAGUUGGUGAGGUAACGGCCCACCAAGGCAACGAUCGGUAGCCGGGCUGAGAGGUUGAACGGCCACAUUGGGACUGAGACACGGCCCAGACUCCUACGGGAGGCAGCAGUGGGGAAUAUUGCACAAUGGGGGAAGCCCUGAUGCAGCGACGCCGCGUGGAGGAAGAAGGUCUUCGGAUUGUAAACUCCUGUUGUUGAGGAAGAUAAUGACGGUACUCAACAAGGAAGUGACGGCUAACUACGUG
rnacentral:rRNA from 1 species